CACUACUCCUGUACGAGGUAUUCUAGUGUGAAAUACUCCUACACAGUUCCGUGCGGGUUUUGGCACUAGCAAAGAUGUUUCAGAACAAAAUACAGUAGAACAGCGCACCAGAGCUUGUGUUCACGAAAGUGUAAAGUAAAUGGUGCCUGGAGUCCAUGGCAGACUUGGGGAAGCUGGGGGUCAUGUGACCAGACAUGUGGAAAUGCAAUAAGAGUCCGGUAUAGUGUGCGACACUGUAACAACCCAGACCCCAAAAAUGGUGGUACAGGUUGUUCUGGAAAAAAUACAAAGAAAGACACGGAACUCUGUAAUACAAAGGAGUGUCCAGGUAAGAAUGUGUUCUUGGUAAGAAAGUGUACACCAUGAAGAAUGUGACCAUAAAAUAUUACAUACAAUCAUAGCAACCAGACGGUGAUUCAA